rnacentral:rRNA from 1 species
GACAGAGGUGCCAAGCGUUAGGCGGAAUCACUGGGCUUAAAGCGUGUGUAGGCGGAUCGUUAAGUACCUUGUGAAAUCCCACGGCUCAACCGUGGAACUGCUGGGUAUAUUGGCGAUCUUGAGCCACCUAGGGGCGAGCGGAACAAGCGGUGGAGCGGUGAAAUGCGUAGAUAUCGCGUGGAACGCCGACGGUGAAAACAGCUCGCUGGGGGUGUGCUGACGCUGAGACACGAAAGCCAGGGGAGCGAACGGG